GCGUGAGUGGUGCUUGGUGUGUGUGGGCAUGUCGGAUCCUUGCUUUGGGCAACGACGGCAUCUACCACACGCCUCUUCAAUGGUGGAAACAAGCUUCUUGUGCUUGUCCCGCGGUCGGUUUUCCUGUGUUGCAUACCCAUUACGACGGCAUUCGGUUGGCAAAAAUGGUCCCAUCUCCGCCUUGUGUCGGCGCUCCCUASGAGCGUUUGAMACGCGGUGGAUCUCACGGCUCGCGUUGUGUUUCGCGCCGCAUUCACCUUACUCGGUGUUUGGGURGGCGACCCACGACGUGAUGCCCGUUGUCUCGGGUGCUGAACAUCGGGUGGGUUCGAGGCAUUGUCCUUUGAUCACCACACAAAUGCGUUCUACGCUUUAUGCGAACGACGGCCGUACACGUACUUCGGCGGAUCACUCUCCUGAUCGGUCGGAGUCRUGACGGCGUUGGUGAGGGAUGC
rnacentral:misc_RNA from 1 species